UCUGUUGCGACAAUGUUGCGAUAUGGAAUGGUAUAUUAAACGUUGCUGGUAUACAGUUUGAGAGUCUGUGUGAGAAGAUUGAACAUUUGUACCGCAUUCCAAGCUUUAUUCUUUUGGAAAAGGAUGUCUUUUAUGAUGCGAUGUGUGAAGAAUAUUGGAAGGUGGAUCAGGGAAUGACAUGUCAAAGUACUCUCUAGCAAAAUCUAGCGACUGCUGUGACAUUUCUUACCAGAUUUAUGAUGUUUAUUUACCAGUUUACAAUGCUGUAUACGCAUAACUCAAUCUUAACCAGAUAUAGUCGUUACCAGUUGGAUAUAAUAGUGUACGUUCUAGAUGUUGAAGAAAGUAACAUGAUAAUGUUUUGUGCUUGUA